rnacentral:rRNA from 1 species
CGGACGGGUGAGUAAUGCCUAGGAAAUUGCCCUGAUGUGGGGGAUAACCAUUGGAAACGAUGGCUAAUACCGCAUAAUGCCUACGGGCCAAAGAGGGGGACCUUCGGGCCUCUCGCGUCAGGAUAUGCCUAGGUGGGAUUAGCUAGUUGGUGAGGUAAGGGCUCACCAAGGCGACGAUCCCUAGCUGGUCUGAGAGGAUGAUCAGCCACACUGGAACUGAGACACGGUCCAGACUCCUACGGGAGGCAGCAGUGGGGAAUAUUGCACAAUGGGCGCAAGCCUGAUGCAGCCAUGCCGCGUGUGUGAAGAAGGCCUUCGGGUUGUAAAGCACUUUCAGUCGUGAGGAAGGUAGUGUAGUUAAUAGCUGCAUUAUUUGACGUUAGCGACAGAAGAAGCACCGGCUAACUCCGUGCCAGCAGCCGCGGUAAUACGGAGGGUGCGAGCGUUAAUCGGAAUUACUGGGCGUAAAGCGCAUGCAGGUGGUUUGUUAAGUCAGAUGUGAAAGCCCGGGGCUCAACCUCGGAAUUGCAUUUGAAACUGGCAGACUAGAGUACUGUAGA